CCGCCCCCACUCUCCCCCCACACAAACAAUAAAGUGAAUGUGGUGUCACAUACAGUUAUUCCUGUGACAAAGCAUCAAGACCAGCCGCUAGAUUUGCAGGUAAUCUCAGCACCUACAGGCAGCCCUGUAACAGAGGCUUCACACAAAGGGCCAGAUCAGAAUCAGGGUGAGCUCACCCCAUCACCGUCUCCGUCAGUCAGCACAACAGACGCUCCACAAGAGGAGCAGAGGGGUCCCUUGGCACCACCAAAGACCAGAGUGAAGAAGAGCGCCCCCUGGCCAGACUACAUGGUAAAUGACACCUCAUUUCCUCACCUCACUGAUACCAGAACGCAUUCAAUCACUGCAAGCCUUGUCCUCGUGUUACAUUAUAUUAUAUGUCUUAUAUGUCUCCGACAAUCAAUGGCAACUUAGAGACUUUGAAUUGGGAUCACUUCCAAGGAUCAUCAAGCACGUUGUAUAGGUUGUGAAUGCUAAAUUAGAAGAAAAAAACAUUCAUUGGAUAUAUUACAUUAACUGCAGCACUUUAUCUCGUAGGCAUACAUGCCAGGCACAGCUGGAGGACAAAAUCGCUAUAAGCACAGAGAAAAAGUAACGUUUUAUUUUUAUACUACCUCUUUUAUUUCAUUAAAACUGUUUCACACUACCAUC
ensembl:lncRNA